UACGUAGGGUGCGAGCGUUAAUCGGAAUUACUGGGCGUAAAGCGUGCGCAGGCGGUUUUGUAAGCCAGAUGUGAAAUCCCCGGGCUCAACCUGGGAAUGGCAUUUGGGACUGCAAGGCUGGAGUGUGGCAGAGGAGACUGGAAUUCCUGGUGUAGCAGUGAAAUGCGUAGAUAUCAGGAGGAAUACCGAUGGCGAAGGCGGUCUCUGGGCUAACACUGACGCUCAUGCACGAAAGCGUGGGGAGCAA
rnacentral:rRNA from 1 species